rnacentral:lncRNA from 1 species
UUUCUCUGGAGGAUCUCCGCGCGUGGCGAGUCUGUGUCCUCCCUGUCCCCCAGAGCAGACACCCUCUCUGUGUCUGGACCGGGGAGGAGCAGACGCUGGACAGGUUUCUGGUAGAAUGCUGGCAAUUUCCAGGAAGAUACGUGGAGAACGGAAAGGUUGCUACACCCAAAUAGUGAAGCAAAGGCUAUGAUUAUGGAGGAUUGGACCUGCAAACUCCAGAACAGAGCAACCUUGUAAAAUGUGUGUGGGCAGCACAGAGAACUUGGGCAAGUUAACAGUUUCCUCAUCUGUGAAUACUGAUUUAUGGAAAGCACCUGGUGCGUGGGUUUUUUGGUCCCAGGGAACCUCGUUUUCAGAGCAGUGGCUCACGCAGAUCCUGAGCCCAGUUAAUGGUCAUACCUUUCCCUGAGUUUAUGUUCAUUCUAUCCUCUGAGAUUAUCUUUGAAGUCUCAUUACAUA